GAAGUUCGAAGCCACCAACGUUCCCAUGGAUGCCCCAGCAUCUCUCCCAUUCCUUGGUGGGAGUUACACCAGGCCCUUCCAGUUGUAAGCCCUUCCUGUUUCAAACCCUCCCUUAGGUCCAGGGUGGUCGAUAGCACUCUCAUGCUGCAUGUGGGAAGGUUUAUGCAGCCCGUGCCCUUUUGCCACCCCAAAACCCCCGGGGGUCAAACUGGGAUAGGGUCUUCUCCCAGCGCUCCAGUCUGGAGGGCUGUAGUUUGGGCUGUCUUGGUUAAGAGCCCCCAUCUUGACCUGGGCCACCCUCUGGCCAGGUGUCUCUGUCACCAGCAGCUCGGCAUCAGCCCCGCAUCCAGCCCUGUGUCUGAGGCAUUGGUGAACACUCUAAAGGCCUUGGCAAAGUUGGGGUUACCAGAUUUACCAGUCCUUGGAUUAGAGCCUCCUUCAACAUAGAGGUUUCAGAGUAGCAGCCUGUGACGAAGUGGGACUGUUCUUAAUGUUUCCUCUGAAUAGUGUGGGGGUGCCUCAGUUUCCCCUAGGCAGUUCUUAAGUAUCUAGGGGGUGGAGUAAGGGUGUAUGAUCGUUGCAGAGCCCUAGAGGGCAGGUGUGUGCAGGGGUCUGGACACAGAGAAUGGCCGACACCCUGUUUCCUGGCCACUGAUGGCCUGGGCCCUUCCCCCCCUGCAAGGUGAGAGCUGAAGGGUUGGAGAACAAAGGAAUCAGGUGACCACCUGGCCCGGGAAAGGAACAAAGCCCAGAGGAGGAGGGGCUGGGGGGUUUUCAGUUUGGGGCUGGCUGGGACAUGGAGUGAAGUGCAGACGUGGUUGUCUGGCUCACUGCCCCCCAAAAUGGACCCAGCUGAGGGGUCCCGUUCUCUGCACCUGCAAGCUCUGUUUUAGACCAUGUUCCUGUCGUCUAAUAAACCUUCUGUUUUACUGGCUGA